UACGGGGGGAGCAAGCGUUGUUCGGAUUUACUGGGCGUAAAGGGCGCGUAGGCGGCCACCGCAAGUCGACUGUGAAAUCUCCGGGCUUAACCCGGAACGGUCAGCCGAUACUGCGGGGCUAGAGUGCAGAAGGGGCAACUGGAAUUCUCGGUGUAGCGGUGAAGUGCGUAGAUAUCGAGAGGAACACCUGCGGCGAAGGCGGGUUGCUGGGCUGACACUGACGCUGAGGCGCGAAAGCUAGGGGAGCGAACGGG
rnacentral:rRNA from 1 species